AUGUCAGAGAAAAAGCAGCCGGUAGACCUGAGUCUCUUGGAGGAAGACAACGAGUUCAGGGACUUCCCUGAGGAAGACUGGGCUGGCUUAGAUGAAGAUGAAGAUGCACAUGUCUGGGAGGAUGAUUGGGAUGAUGACAAUGUAGAAGAUGACUUCUCCAGUCAAUUAGGAGCUGGACUACAGAAACAUGGGUAUAAGAUGGAGACCUCAUAG